rnacentral:rRNA from 1 species
GAUGAACGCUGGCGGCGUGCCUAAUACAUGCAAGUAGAACGCUGAAGCUUGGUGCUUGCACCGAGCGGAAGAGUUGCGAACGGGUGAGUAACGCGUAGGUAACCUGCCUCUUAGCGGGGGAUAACUAUUGGAAACGAUAGCUAAUACCGCAUAAAAGUCGACAUUGCAUGAUGUUGACUUGAAAGGUGCAACUGCAUCACUAAGAGAUGGACCUGCGUUGUAUUAGCUAGUUGGUGAGGUAACGGCUCACCAAGGCGACGAUACAUAGCCGACCUGAGAGGGUGAUCGGCCACACUGGGACUGAGACACGGCCCAGACUCCUACGGGAGGCAGCAGUAGGGAAUCUUCGGCAAUGGACGGAAGUCUGACCGAGCAACGCCGCGUGAGUGAAGAAGGUUUUCGGAUCGUAAAGCUCUGUUGUAAGAGAAGAACGAGUGUGAGAGUGGAAAGUUCACACUGUGACGGUAACUUACCAGAAAGGGACGGCUAACUACGUGCCAGCAGCCGCGGUAAUACGUAGGUCCCGAGCGUUAUCCGGAUUUUUGGGCGUAAAGCGAGCGCAGCGGUUAGAUAAGUCUGAAGUUAAGGCUGUGGCUUACCAUAGUACGCUUUGGAAACUGGUUUAACUUGAUGCGAAGGGAGAAUGGAUUCCUGUGUAGCGGUGAAUGCUAGAAUUUGGAGGAAACCGUGGCAAACGCUCUUGGUUUUACCUACCCUAGGCCAAACUGGGGGCAAAAAAGUUAAACCCGGUAUUCAGGGCAAAUCCCAUGGGAUUAGCUUUCCAAUCCUCGGCGGGGGGGAUAUGAAAAAAAUUUUGUUCCUAAAGGGGAAUUAACG